AAGUAGGCCUGAGUCAGUGAAGAGCUUUGGAGGGCGGGACUGAAUGGGGGUUAAUCAGAGGAUGCGAUAGCUGACCAUUUGCACUUUGGCAUGGCCCAUCCCCUAAUUUCUGACCAGAAGCCCUCCCUCUACCCUAAGCUCGUGCGUCACGACGCCGCCAGCUGAUCGGAGCCUGGAGCCGGUGUGUGCUGGGUGCCGAGAAGAGACAGCGCCGCCGGCCGUGGGGAGCGGACGCAGUGAUUUGCUCCCCCUCGUGCAGCAACCCCCACACCCAGCACCAGGCCCCCAGAACUCUCCUUCCAGCUGAACUCCCUGGGAACAAGUCAGUUGGGCUGAUCACUGAACUCACAUUUCUGGACCUGAGGAGCCUGUUCCUCUCACGCCCUCACCUGGCUGAGCCGCAGUAGUUCUUCAGUGGCAAGCUUUAUGUCCUGACCCAGCUAAAGCUGCCAGUUGAAGAACUGUUGCCCUCUGCCCCUGGCUUCGAGGAGGAGGAGGAGCUGCUUUCCCCAUCAUCUGGAAGGUGACAGAAAUGGGCUGGGAAGGUCCGGACAGCAGGGUGGAUGAUAACAUUUUGGGCAAGUUGGAGAGCCUUUGCCCAGAUUGGCCCGGCAAGGAGCGGUUUUAGAUUAGAGACACUGGCUGGAUUGAGGAGUAGAAGGCUCAAACAACCCAAGGUGGUAUGUGAUCCCCAGCUCAGGCCUGUGCAGACAGGAAAUUCUCCCCUGCAGCAAGUAGGGGAGGUGGGUUGUGGGAUGUGACCUCCUUCCGGAUAUCAGGCAGUGAGUAUAAACCUGCCACCUCCAGCCCUGAUCCAUUCUCACCUAGCGGCUACAGGAAGCUGUGUCUGUUCGAUUUGGUGGGAGGAGAUGUGCAGGGAGCUGUAUCUUGUCCUCCGCUUGUGAAAAACUCAAGGAUGUGGAGAAGAGUAGACCGUGGAACCCUGCUCUUCUGCAGCCAAGCUGAGGGGCAGGAUGCGUGUGGGACAGUGGUAGAGAAGCAGGGGAUAGACUCAUAGGCUGCAACAAAGGUCACUCUGUCCCUGGACACUGCCUCCGUACUUUCUCCUUGCUUCACUGGCCACAGCAUCUCCCUCCAGCCCUCGCUAUGUGCCUCUGCCAUCUUCACGCAUCAUGGAGCAGAGGUGAGGAGAGGCAGCCUGGGAAUAUGGAGACCAGUGAAGGACCAGGCCUGGAGAGCACAGGGUCCUACCUGGGCAUCCAGCAGAGGAGCCCCUAAAGGCCAGGAGCACCCCAAGAGGAGGGAGGGCAGCCAGCCUCCAUUGACGGCGAGCCUCCAGCCCUCUCCUACUUGGAUCACCAUUUCUCUCCAGGCUUUCUGCCUCCGAGAUGUGGCACCAUAGUGCGGUGCCCUGUGGCUUCACCGCCCUACUUCCACCUCCGCCCAGCCUGUAAUGUUUAUAUAAGCAGCCUCAAGGACCAAGAACCAUCUGCGAAAGGACACACACAGGAAAUUCAUAAAAGAAAUCUGAAUGGAUAAAACCAUGAAAAAAAGUAUGCUUCAUUAGUAAUUAAAGAAAGGCAAAUAGAGCUGGAAGCAUUUUUCCCUUAGCAAACCAUAACAGAAAAAAAAAGACCCGAUAUUAGCAAAGAGACUACUGAAAAAACAUUCCCAUACAUUGCGUGUGGGAGUAUACAUCGGUGCAGGCUUCCUGGAUGACAGUUGGGUGAUAUGUGUCAUGUGGCCUAAAAGCCUCCAUGUCAUUUGACCUACGAAUUCUAUCUUUGGGAAUUUAUCCUAAGAAAAUACUUAAGGAUUUAGUUAGUGAUAAGAUGUUCAUCCCAGCAUUGCAAUGGAGAAAAAUGGGAAGCAAUGGUUUGGUUGGGAAUUUAUUCCUUUUCUGCUGUAACGAAAGUUUGCAAUAGGGGAUUGCUUAAGUAAAUUAUUGUAUCUCCAUCCAGAUGGUGGAGUACCGCGCAGACAUUAAAAGUCAUGUAAAAGAACAUCUGACUGAAAGAAAAGUGCUCCUUGAAUAUUAUAAGGUUGUAAAAAUAGUGCAUGUUAUGUGAUUUCAAUUUUGUUUUUUAAAAUAUGGGUGUAUACUUGUAUACGUAGAGCAGAUAAAAAAGACGGAAGGCAUACUAAAAAAUGUUGAGUGGUUAUCUUUGUAUGGUGGAACAAAGUCACUGUAAUUUUCAUCUUUGGUUUUUCUGUAAUUUCCAAAUUUUCUACAUUUUGUAUUUCAUAUAAUAAAUAUAAUUUAAGA